AUUAGAAGCCCAUUAACCCAUUAAGUAAUACUGCGAUAAAGACUACGAAUUCUACCGCAUAAUUGCCCCCAACCGCGAGAAUCGACGAGUAACCCGUUGCUGCCGCCCCUCGAUGGAGCAGGGUUCCAGAGCCAUCCAUCCAACAAUUAAGCGAUCCGCGCCUGUUAAUUGAAGUGCCGGACGGCAAACAGAUCAGCAUUGGGACCGGAGAUUGGAAUUUCAUUCGGCACUCCAUUGAACCAAAGCCGGCGAAAAGUUACCCAGGAAACCAGCACAAAGCCAAACCGCACAGAGCCAAAACGCCAAAGGGAUGGGGCGGACGCAACCUAUUCAAAAUGCAAAAUGGCAAGCGUAAAAUUGUUUCAAUAUUCAUAACGUCGGCGCUAAAUGCUCGAUUUUCCAUGGCCGUAGUGGGGCCAAACUAAGAACUCCGAAACGGAAGCGCAUAAAAACUCAGUAUUCGAUGUCACAGGCCCAUGAAUGUUGACACUCUGGAUCCAGGACCCAGGGAUCCUGCGCCCUCGUCCUCGCCCAUCCCGCCUCCCUGUUGGUCAACAUGUUGGGAAAUUUAAAGCACCUGGGCUGCCACCAGCAGGCCAGAUAACGCAGUAGGUGCCGCACCAACAACACGUCCUGCGUGUCCUGCCCGUGGGCGAUAGCAGGCCGAAUCCUCGACCCGGAGCCCCCAAAUUCACCCGGAACCCGAUCCCGAACCCCAACCCCAGCCCCAACCCGGCCAAUUGCCAUUAUUGGUUAGCCAAAAGCGGCAGCCGCACGACCCAGAUGCAAACAAUGGCCCCUCCUUCAGGAUUCCCGGCCAUGUCCUGUGCCUACCCACACUGACACACUCACACACACACUCUCAUAAAGAGCGCAUAAAAGCCGAUAAGCGACAUUUAUGCGCCCCGAAAUUCUCCCAGGAACAGGAUAACCACUCUCGGCCACCUCGUUUCCAUUCACUUUUCGUGUAAGUUUCAGCACUAAGCAAAAAUUGAAUAUUUUUGGCCAAUUUCAGAGAGGCGCUAAUUGAAAAGGACACAGACAGGACUCAGACACGGACCCAAACAGAGGCUGCAGCUGGGAAAACGCUUUAACUUCCGCCGGAAGAAGACGAGGAGCUGGCUGCAACUCCUUGCCAUGCAUCAGCAUCCUUUGCCAUGCAUCAGCGAGCUGUGAGCAUGUUUGCGCCGAAGAUUAAAAGCAUGUGUCCGGUUUUAUGUGCCACGCCCCCCAACGCCCCCCGCCGCCACCGUCUGGGGGCGGAAUUUAUAACCGUAAAAGUGCAACAGUGAAAAAAGCAGAGCGACAGGGAGGCAGUGGGGCAGGAGCCAAACCAGCUGGCUGGCUUAUACAUACAUGGCAGCGUUUUACGGGGCAGAGAUAAGUCCUCUGGCAUCCUUUUGGCUUGGCAUGGCAUGGCAUGGCAUGGCAUGGCGGCAGGAUCUGCAGGAGUUGCUCCGCGUUUUGUUGCAUAGUUUUGAUUUAUUGCAGAGCAACAACGGCUACAGCAAAUUCCAUUUGAAAAUUCAUAACGUGCAGCAGCGAGACAGGGGGUCCGGAACGUGAACGUGAAUGGCAUGGAAGGUGAACACAGUGGAGCGUGGAGCAGGAGGCGAGGAGCAGCGAGCAGGGAGCAGGGGCCACCGAGAACCUAGUUUAUAUCCGCAAUAUCAGGGGCAUUAUAUUACCAGAGACAGGCCGGGACUGCGACGGGAACUCAGUUUCGGAUUUGGAUUUGGACUCGGAGCUAAUUUUAAAUGCCUCGCUUGGCAUUUGGCCCCGAAUGUGAUUUGGAAAGUACCCAUAGCCACGUCCACUUGAAGUCGCUACCCAACCGAAAACUCUGGAGAGGACUACUCGAACGGGCGAGUAAAUCAAUUAGCAAGUUUCCAACUAAAAGCGUUUGAAAAAUAUUUGAAAGGCGGCAAGGGCUUUUUGGCGAGAGCCUCUUUUGGAGCUCCGUUGAUUGUUGAAUUAUUUAUACGCCCGCAUCUACAUACAUUUAUAUAUGUGUGCGCUCAGUUGAUUUAUAUAUACAUAUGCGUUAUGCAAAUGAAUUAUGCACAUGAGUUGGCAGCUAGCAGCCAAGGGCUUCUCUCCACUUUUGGUUUUUGGCUUUUCAUUUGCUCCUCCGCCAGCUGCUGUUUAACACCUUUCCCCGACCCCCGAAAGCGUUUUGUCAGCCGCUUAGCCAUUUCGGCUGGCAACUUCACAGAUGCGCAAAUGAUUGAUUGAGGGAUAUAAUCGACACGUGGGUCAAGGUCCUGAUUGUUAAGCUGAGUCAUACUCUUUGGAUCAAUAAAAAAAAAACUGUAGCUCAUGCUUUAGGUAAGCCAUCAAUCAUCGAAUGAAAUUCAACACUGAGAGGAGCCAGGAACCUCAUAAUGAAGCCAUAAAAUUGGCGAGCAGAAGAGCUUUGACGAGCACUUUUCUUGGUCACCUCCUGGCGGGUAAUUAAGUUCCGCCCAGCGGGCCCUGCCACAUUCUCUGUGGGGUUAAUCUAUCAGCGAGUGGCGGUUACCCCUGCUCCGGGCCUUCUGCCCUCGGUUCCGUAGCCCCUGGUCGAUCCACUAGUACGCACACAUAUCCAUAUCGCUCUCGCUUUAAUUAUCAACAAUGAGCUGGGACCAAUAACUGUACGCAAUUCCCCGCGGUGACAUUGCAGACGCUUUAAUAAACAAGCCAUCGGCACUUAAGGAAUAGGAAUAAGCAAAGUACACAUUUAAUGUCCCGGGCCAGAAAGCAUGGAGCAUAAGUACAAGCACGAGAACCAGAACGAGAACGAUAACCAGAACAAGAGCGGCAAUCAGCGAGGGCAGCUGGAAUUAUGGCAGAGCAGCGAAUCAGGAGGUAUCAGGAAUCAGGAAUCAGGGUCCAAGGACCAAGGACCAGGGACCAAGGACCAGGGACCGAAGACCAAGAAACUGCCGGCAAGGGGCGAAAAAACAAUCCAACAUUCAUUUAUUAUUUAAUACGAAAACGCAAUUCGUGCAUUCACCUGGAAACCAUCAACAAACGUCACCAGCGGGAAUACUUCUGCUCCUUACACACAUACACAUACAAAUCAGACACACACACGAGUCCGGGAGGAUUGCCCGCUCACACAGAUACGGAUACUCGAGCAGAUACAGAUACACACGGCAAAUAGUUGGCAAGUUCGAGUGGCUGUGGCCUGAAGGCGCAGGACGAAGGACGAAGGACGCGGGACGCGGGACGCAGCCAAGCAUAACGGUAAACCAAGCUGACGUUAACUGGCAAGGCGAUAAAGCAGCGACACACACACAGAGACACUCAGGGCACACAUACCAUCGCAGCGGCCCACCAUCACGGGAGCAAAAGUCUCAGUCGGACGGACACACACAAAUGAAAUUCAAGCAAAUUGAAAUUUUAUUUCAGCAAAUGUCUUGCUCUUUACGCUCUGCGGCUGUCUACCUCCACACAGUGCACUCAGAGAAAAUAUUACACUGAUCCUAGGACACCAAUAAAAUGUUAAAUAUUGUAUUUAAUGUCUUGAGAAGAGAUCUGAAUUUAGAGAAGUGUAAAAACAGCACUAUGAGUCUGAACAAGAAAGGAAGUUAGCUUCGGUAAGCCAAAAUUUGUAUAUCCCCUUGCAGUUAUUAGAAAUAGUCAAUGUUAGU